GAUGAACGCUGGCGGCGUGCCUAAUACAUGCAAGUCGAGCGAACAGACGAGGAGCUUGUUCCUCUGUCGUUAGCGGCGGACGGGAGAGUAACACGUGGAUAACCUACCUAUAAGACUGGGAUGACUUCGGGAAACCGGAGCUAAUAGCGUAUAAUAUAUUGAACGGCAUGGUUUAAUAGUGAAAGACGGUUUUGGUGUCACUUAUGGAUGGAUCCGCGGCGCAUUAGGUAGUUGGUUAGGGAACGGCUUACCAAGGCAACGAUUGUGAGCCGACCUGAGAGGGUGAACAGCCACACUGGAGCUGAGACACGUUCCAGACUCCUACGGAAGGCAGCGGUAGGGAAGCGUCCGCAAUGGGCGAAAGCCUGCCGGAGCAACGCCGCGUGAGUGAUGAAGGUCUUCGGAUCGUAAAACUCUCUUAUUAGGGAAGAACAAGUGUGUAAGUAACUAUGCACGUCUUGACGGUACCUAAUCAGAAAGCCACGGCUAACUACGUG
rnacentral:rRNA from 1 species